CCUACGGGAGGCAGCAGUGGGGAAUUUUGGACAAUGGGCGCAAGCCUGAUCCUGCCAUUCCGCGUGAGUGAAGAAGGCCUUCGGGUUGUAAAGCUCUUUCGCAAGGGAAGAAACGUUACGGGCGAAUAACCCGUGAUAAUGACGGUACCUUGAUAAGAAGCACCGGCUAACUACGUGCCAGCAGCCGCGGUAAUACGUAGGGUGCAAGCGUUAAUCGGAAUUACUGGGCGUAAAGCGUGCGCAGGCGGUUUUGUAAGUCAGAUGUGAAAUCCCCGAGCUCAACUUGGGAACUGCGUUUGAAACUACAAGGCUAGAAUAUGUCAGAGGGGGGUAGAAUUCCACGUGUAGCAGUGAAAUGCGUAGAGAUGUGGAGGAAUACCAAUGGCGAAGGCAGCCCCCUGGGAUAAUAUUGACGCUCAUGCACGAAAGCGUGGGGAGCAAACAGGAUUUAGAUACCCCUGGUAGUCCCGACGACCCGUAACCGAACUAGUCUACUAGUUAGUUGGUUGGUAGGUAAAGUACCUAUAGUAGUAACGACGAGCUAACGUACGUGUAAGUAAGACCGCCGUCGGGGAGGUACGGUCGGCGAAGAAGUUAAAACGUUAAAAGGUAAAGUUAGUACGGCGUGAGACGUGCCGACGGACGACGACGAGGGAGGAGG
rnacentral:rRNA from 1 species